GACACACCCGCCGCAGCCAUCUCUUUCCCAGCAUCUCCAAAUGUACCUGAUGUCUCCCUGUCAUUUAGCCUUGGUCGUGGUGCUUUUCUUUGCAGCAAAAGCCAUUGUGACCUGGAUCUACAUCAGGUUAAGAGUUGCUGGACCAUGAGACCUUCUUCUCGGCUUCCCUUGGAUCUACAAUAGAACAGAACCAGGAGUGCUAUUGGCAGAGAAGCAGAAAGAGCCUCGGGGCUGAGGCUGGGUUGGAAUCUCUAUUCCUUGUACAUUAGCUAUAUGUGCUUCGAGUUCCUGUGCCUGUGCAUUAUGACCGAAGCAACUACAAGACAAUCUUCCAUCAAGAGUACUGCACCUAUAGUGUGGUGGAAUGAGGUGACCCAGAAAAUACAUGCGUUGUUUAUAGCUGGGUAUUGUAAUGGGCUUGGGCUCAGUGCUCCCA